rnacentral:tRNA from 1 species
GCAGGGAUAGUGAAGCGGUCAAACACGGGUGACUGUAAAUCAUCUGGCUCAGCCUUCGGGGGUUCGAAUCCCUCUCCCUGCACCA